GGUUCGGUGGUGUAGUUGGUUAUCACGUCAGUCUAACAUUGGUCAGGUCCCACUGACCAAGGUACACUGAAGGUCGGGAGUUCGAGCCUCCCCUGAAUCA